rnacentral:lncRNA from 1 species
CAGGAACUAUGUCUUGAUGAUCUUUGAGGCUCCUGCUUCUAUCACAGUACCCAACAUAUAGUAGAUGUUAUAAAUACUAGUUGAAAGAAUCAGUGUAAAAUGGUAGAUAAAGGGGCUGAUACUUUUUUUCAUUAAUAAUCUUCAGGAAACACAUUUAAGAAUUAUAGCAAAUGUUAGUUGCCUACCCAACAGCCAUUCUUCCUUUCUCUUUUGUUAUUAAAACCCAGCUUUUGUUGUAGCAAUGUAUCCUAUGGCAUGAUUCUUGAUAGACCUAAGUCAGUCAUGACAUCCCCUUCUUCUUUUCCAGUGAUCCAUAUGGGUUGGGCAUGAUGAGUCACAGAGGAAAGAUGCUGAGGCUUCAGGGAGAGGUCUUCUUCCCUGAUAGAGAGUCACUUUCUCCCCUUUUCUCCCUGCUGUGUUUACUGUUUUGUAAGGGAUAUGAAGCAUGGAACUGGAGGAGCUGUCCUGUGUCAGCCUGAAAUAAUCAAAAGGAUCAAAAAUCCUGUUUUAGGCAACAUAGGAAGACUCCAACUCUACAAAAAAUUUAAAAAAUUAGCCAGGUAUGGCAGCACAUGCCUGUACUCCUACCUACUUGUGAGGUUGGGGUGGGAGGAUCACUUGAGCCCAGGAAGGUGAGGCUACAGUGAGCUGUGAUCGUACCACUGCACUCUCACCUGAGCAACAGAAUGAGACCCUGUCUCUAAAAAAAAAUAAUAAAAAAUUUAAAAUCCAGUUUUAAAGAGUUUAUUCACCAACCUGGACAACAUAGCAAGACCCCAUCUCUUAAAAAAUAAAAAAAUAGCCAGGCAUGGUGGCAUGCACCUGUAGUCCCAACUACUCGGGAGGCUCAGGUGGGAAGAUCACUUGAGCCUGAGAGGUCAAGGCUGCAAUGAAUCAUGAUUGCACCACUGCACUCUAGCCUGGGUAACAGAGCAAGACCCUGUCUCAGAACAACAACAAAAACGCCAAGAGUUUAUUCAAGGAAAAAGCUGGGAAUGGCCAUCUGGGAAACAGACUCCAAAGAAAUGGGGUCAGUGCUCUGAAGUUAAAAGUUAAGAUCUUGCUUAUAAAUGCAGAAAACAAAGAAAUUUAGUAGGAUUAUAACAUUUUCACUACUAGGCUGGCUUAUGAGUUACAACAGUUUAAUUAGUUACACUUUGUUUUCUUUUCCUUACAGUUUGUUUUACUUGUUAACACCUUAUUGUCAUCUCCUUUCCAACUUAAGAGUGUAUUUAACAUUCUUUCUUAGACAUUGUGAUAGUCGUGAAGUCUAUUUUAUAUAUUUAUAGUCGCUUUAUUCAUAAUUGUGAGAAACUGGAAACAACACAAAUGUCCUUCAAUAGGUAAAUGGGUAGGCACAGGAAAGAGGCAGAAAAGCCCAGGAAAAGAAAGGGGCUGGACAAAGGAAUUGGGGGGAAUGAGAGAACUGUUCUGUAUCUUGAGUGUUGUUACAGUUAUAUAUCUCUGUGUGUUUAUUAAAACUCAGAAUUGUACACCAAAAGAGCAAACGUCCCUGUUUGUAAAUUAUAACUUUUUUAACAAAGUUAAAAAAAAAGGAAUGUUUUCUUAAGUAUGAAGAAAUAAGCUACUAAUACAAACAAUGUAAAACAAAAUCAGGUCAGAUCAGCCAUCAGACAGAUUAAACAUGGAGAAGUAAUCCAGUUGAUCUACUAUUGAAAACAAUAUAAGUUACUCUAUCAUUCUACUGUAUUAUUAUUUGAGUCCUUCUCAGAAACCAUAAAAGGUAGUGGCUUUGAUUUAUAAACUAGCAGUACUCUUACCAGCUAGCAAAGUAAUGAAGAGUCCUGUGAUUCUGGGAUAUUUUCUAUUUGCAUCUAAUACAGAAUACAGAAUGUGAAUGUGCUUAGAGAAGGAUAAGAAGUGAGACAAUCAGGGUCUUGUAUUAGUUACAGGGAAAUACUCUAGCUCCAGUUCUUUAGAACUAUGCCAAGAGCUACCAAGAUUGAGUAGAAGAGAUAAAAAACAUCUGGAAUAAAUGGAAAGAUUGUCACAUCUAGUCUCUAACACAUAACCAUGAUUCUAAAAAUAAUACAUACAAAAUUCAGUCAUUCACCUUAAUAGAAUUAUCUUGUAGGCCACGGAUAAUUUUUCAUCAUCAUACUGUAAACAAUAGACACCUUUACUCUUUUCAGAGUGGCACUGAAUCCUUUGUAAGGUGUGUCAUCCACACUGCCAGUUAGAUUCUAUAGUCUCUAUAACCUGGAUAAUCUUUGGGUAUAAUGACCUAUGAAAUGAAUUGGGAGGGCCAUCUGUGGGUCUGUUUUUAAACAGGUGCUGUCCCACCCUUUUUCUGAAAGUCCCUUCCAUAGAGGAUAAGCGUGUACCAUUCGUUCAAUCAGCUUCUUCCAAAGCAUUCAUUCUGAGGUCACUUGCUGCCAUUCUUUACAUACCAGCUCUGCUGCACACAGAGACCUGGCAUCGAAAUAACUUUUUCUGCUAUGUGAUCUAAGCCUUGAUCUGGUAAGUGGUAAAGUCCUGCUGCAACAUGGGCUUUGGGUAAGAGUUAAUACACCCAUACUGAUAGUGACAAAUUUGUGAACUAAGAUGUUCCAAAUAGCCUUAGUUGGUUGGGCCUUUAAUCUGGGACCUAUUAAUCCACUCAGAGUUUUAAAAAAAUUGGUAGAACAGCCGCUGUCUUAAAUUGAUACAUUGCCUCCAGGCUAAAUUUUAGUUAUCCUUUGUCAUUCCAAACAUUUCUCAAAUUUGUCUUUCACUAUUUGAGGUUGAGAAGAAGUAGUUGCCUCUUUCAACUCUACAAGUAGGUCCUCAAAUUGGUGGACUCUUGAUUCCCUUCAUUGCUUACAAAACGGUCAAUUCUUUUUCUCAGCUCAUCUCUUUCUUGUAAUAGCUUGCCAAAUGCAGCCAAUAGCAAAUAACACACAACAUUCUGUUUUCUAGCCUUCCCCCGAGCUACAAAUGUAUUAAGUACAUGACCUGUCUUCCAAGUUACUGUAGAUAACAAUUUUAUUAAAUGUUUCACUACUGCAUAGCAUGGAUUGCUAUCUGAAUCUCUGAAAACAAUUUUAUUGCUACCUGCUGUCGCUCUUAAAUGUUUUAUAUUCUUGUUAUUGCAGCACCCCACUUUAGAUAACCAUGUCUACCUUAAGUGAGGAUGACCUGGAUUUUGCUGUAGUAACAGCCCUAAAUUCUCAGUAGUUCAAAACAAUAAAGAUUUAUUUGUUGCUUA